rnacentral:rRNA from 1 species
UACGAAGGGGGCUAGCGUUGCUCGGAAUCACUGGGCGUAAAGGGUGCGUAGGCGGGUCUUUAAGUCAGGGGUGAAAUCCUGGAGCUCAACUCCAGAACUGCCUUGAUACUGAAGAUCUUGAGUUCGGGAGAGGUGAGUGGAACUGCGAGUGUAGAGGUGAAAUUCGUAGAUAUUGGGAAGAACACCGGUGGCGAAGGCGGCUCACUGGCUCGUAACUGACGCUCAUGCACGACAGCGUGGGGAGCGAACAGG